rnacentral:rRNA from 1 species
CCUACGGGAGGCAGCAGUGAGGAAUAUUGGUCAAUGGAGGCAACUCUGAACCAGCCAUGCCGCGUGCAGGAUGACUGCCCUAUGGGUUGUAAACUGCUUUUAUACGGGGAGAAAAUUAUCUACGUGUAGAUAACUGACGGUACCGUAAGAAUAAGCACCGGCUAACUCCGUGCCAGCAGCCGCGGUAAUACGGAGUGUGCAAGCGUUAUCCGGAUUUAUUGGGUUUAAAGGGUCCGUAGGCGGGCUUAUAAGUCAGAGGUGAAAUCCCACAGCUCAACUGUGGAACUGCCUUUGAUACUGUAGGUCUUGAAUGUAUUUGAAGUAGGCGGAAUAUGUAGUGUAGCGGUGAAAUGCAUAGAUAUUACAUAGAACACCAAUUGCGAAGGCAGCUUACUAAGAUAUGAUUGACGCUGAUGGACGAAAGCGUGGGUAGCGAACGGGAUUAGAUACCCCGGUAGUCCACGCCGUAAACGAUGCUAACUCGGUGCUUGUCUACUUGAAGAUGAGUGCCAAAGCGAAAGUAUUAAGUUAGCCACCUGGGGAGUACGCUGGCAACAGUGAAACUCAAAGGAAUUGACGG